UCAGCAGGCAGGCUGGUGCAGC
rnacentral:miRNA from 1 species